GACAGAGGCCUCGAGCGUUAGGCGGAAUCACUGGGCUUAAAGCGUGUGUAGGCGGAUCGUUAAGUACCUUGUGAAAUCCCACGGCUCAACCGUGGAACGGCUGGGUAUACUGGCGGUCUUGGGCCAUUCAGGGGCGACUGGAACAAGCGGUGGAGCGGUGAAAUGCGUAGAUAUCAUUUGGAACGCCAAUGGUGAAAACAGGUAGCUGGGGCUGUGCUGACGCUGAGACACGAAAGCCAGGGGAGCAAACAGG
rnacentral:rRNA from 1 species